rnacentral:rRNA from 1 species
CGAACGCUGGCGGCCUGCCUAACACAUGCAAAUCGAACGAGACCUUCGGGUCUAGUGGCGCACGGGUGCGUAACGCGUGGGAACCUGCCCUUAGGUUCGGGAUAACUCCCCGAAAGGGGUGCUAAUACCGGAUAAUGUCUUCGGACCAAAGAUUUAUCGCCUUUGGAUGGGCCCGCGUUGGAUUAGCUAGUUGGUAGGGUAAAAGCCUACCAAGGCGACGAUCCAUAGCUGGUCUGAGAGGAUGAUCAGCCACACUGGGACUGAGACACGGCCCAGACUCCUACGGGAGGCAGCAGUGGGGAAUAUUGGACAAUGGGCGAAAGCCUGAUCCAGCAAUGCCGCGUGAGUGAUGAAGGCCUUAGGGUUGUAAAGCUCUUUUACCCGGGAUGAUAAUGACAGUACCGGGAGAAUAAGCUCCGGCUAACUCCGUG